rnacentral:rRNA from 1 species
AGAGUUUGAUCCUGGCUCAGAACGAACGCUGGCGGCAUGCCUAAUACAUGCAAGUCGAACGAGAUCUUCGGAUCUAGUGGCGCACGGGUGCGUAACGCGUGGGAAUCUGCCCUUGGGUUCGGAAUAACAUCUGGAAACGGAUGCUAAUACCGGAUGAUGACGUAAGUCCAAAGAUUUAUCGCCCAAGGAUGAGCCCGCGUAGGAUUAGCUAGUUGGUGAGGUAAAGGCUCACCAAGGCUACGAUCCUUAGCUGGUCUGAGAGGAUGAUCAGCCACACUGGGACUGAGACACGGCCCAGACUCCUACGGGAGGCAGCAGUAGGGAAUAUUGGACAAUGGGGGCAACCCUGAUCCAGCAAUGCCGCGUGAGUGAUGAAGGCCUUAGGGUUGUAAAGCUCUUUUACCCGAGAUGAUAAUGACAGUAUCGGGAGAAUAAGCUCCGGCUAACUCCGUGCCAGCAGCCGCGGUAAUACGGAGGGAGCUAGCGUUGUUCGGAAUUACUGGGCGUAAAGCGCACGUAGGCGGUUAUUUAAGUCAGAGGUGAAAGCCCGGGGCUCAACCCCGGAACUGCCUUUGAGACUGGAUAACUUGAAUCCAGGAGAGGUGAGUGGAAUUCCGAGUGUAGCGGUGAAAUGCGUAGA